rnacentral:rRNA from 1 species
UACGUAGGGGGCAAGCGUUGUCCGGAAUCAUUGGGCGUAAAGAGCGUGUAGGCGGCCCGAUAAGCCUCGCUGUGAAAGUCCAGGGCUCAACCCUGGGAUGCCGGCGGAUACUGUCGGGCUCGAGUCCGGAAGAGGAGUGUGGAAUUCCUGGUGUAGCGGUGAAAUGCGCAGAUAUCAGGAGGAACACCAAUGGCGAAGGCAGCACUCUGGGACGUGACUGACGCUGAGACGCGAAAGCGUGGGGAGCAAACAGG